AUGGGCGGAAGCCUGAACCAGCCAAGUAGCGUGCAGGAUGACGGCCCUACGGGUUGUAAACUGCUUUUAUGCGGGGAUAAAGUGAGGGACGUGUCCCUUUUUGCAGGUACCGCAUGAAUAAGGACCGGCUAAUUCCGUGCCAGCAGCCGCGGUAAUACGGAAGGUCCGGGCGUUAUCCGGAUUUAUUGGGUUUAAAGGGAGCGUAGGCCGGGGAUUAAGUGUGUUGUGAAAUGUAGGCGCCCAACGUCUGACUUGCAGCGCAUACUGGUUCCCUUGAGUACGCGCAACGCCGGCGGAAUUCGUCGUGUAGCGGUGAAAUGCUUAGAUAUGACGAAGAACCCCGAUUGCGAAGGCAGCCGGCGGGAGCGCAACUGACGCUGAAGCUCGAAGGUGCGGGUAUCGAACAGGAUUAGAUACCCUGGUAGUCCGCACGGUAAACGAUGGAUGCCCGCUGUCGGCGCCUUGCGCCGGCGGCCAAGCGAAAGCGUUAAGCAUCCCACCUGGGGAGUACGCCGGCAACGGUGAAACUCAAAGGAAUUGACGGGGGCCCGCACAAGCGGAGGAACAUGUGGUUUAAUUCGAUGAUACGCGAGGAACCUUACCCGGGCUUGAAUCGCAGGAGAACGAAACAGAGAUGUUGAGGUCCUUCGGGACUCCUGCGAAGGUGCUGCAUGGGUUGUCGUCAGCUCGUGCCGUGAGGUGUCGGCCUUAAGUGCCAU
rnacentral:rRNA from 1 species